rnacentral:rRNA from 1 species
CCUACGCGCGGCAGCAGUGGGGAAUAUUGGACAAUGGGCGAAAGCCUGAUCCAGCCAUGCCGCGUGUGUGAAGAAGGCCUUCGGGUUGUAAAGCACUUUCAGUGGGGAAGAAAGCCUUGGGGCUAAUACCCUCGAGGAAGGACAUCACCCACAGAAGAAGCACCGGCUAACUCCGUGCCAGCAGCCGCGGUAAUACGGAGGGUGCGAGCGUUAAUCGGAAUUACUGGGCGUAAAGCGCGCGUAGGCGGUCUGAUAAGCCGGUUGUGAAAGCCCCGGGCUCAACCUGGGAACGGCAUCCGGAACUGUCAGGCUAGAGUGCAGGAGAGGAAGGUAGAAUUCCCGGGGUAGCGGGUAAAUGCGGAGAGAUCGGGAGGAAUACCAGUGGCGAAGGCGGCCUUCUGGACUGACACUGACGCUGAGGUGCGAAAGCGUGGGUAGCAAACAGGAUUAGAUACCCGAGUAGUC